rnacentral:misc_RNA from 1 species
AAAAAAAAAAAAAAAAAAAGGCACUGGUUCCAUCAAUAUCACUAUCAACCCAUAUUAUGAAUCCACCAAGUGAUUAUAGGUUAAAAACGGAAAAUGAUGAAGACCCAGUUCGCCAAAUUGCCCAAGCACUCGUUUCUUGAAUAAGCUAUCGAAAUAAUAGCCUAAAUCAACACCCAAAAAAUGGGCAAAAUAGCGAAAUAGUUUAGGCCCAGUUCACCAAAUUGGCCCCAA